CCUGGCGGCACUAGCGCGGUGGUCCCACCUGACCCCAUGCCGAACUCAGAAGUGAAACGCCGUAGCGCCGAUGGUAGUGUGGGGUCUCCCCAUGCGAGAGUAGGGAACUGCCAGGG
rnacentral:rRNA from 1 species